UACGUAGGGUGCAAGCGUUGUCCGGAAUUAUUGGGCGUAAAGAGCUCGUAGGCGGUCUGUCGCGUCUGCUGUGAAAACUCGGGGCUUAACCCCGGGCCUGCAGUGGGUACGGGCAGACUAGAGUGCGGUAGGGGGGACUGGAAUUCCUGGUGUAGCGGUGAAAUGCGCAGAUAUCAGGAGGAACACCGGUGGCGAAGGCGGGUCUCUGGGUCGUAACUGACGCUGAGGAGCGAAAGCGUGGGGAGCGAACAGG
rnacentral:rRNA from 1 species